UACGUAGGGUCCGAGCGUUGUCCGGAAUUAUUGGGCGUAAAGGGCUCGUAGGCGGUCUGUCGCGUCGAUCGUGAAAACUUGGGGCUUAACCCUGAGCUUGCGGUCGAUACGGGCAUGACUGGAGUUCGGCAGGGGAGACUGGAAUUCCUGGUGUAGCGGUGAAAUGCGCAGAUAUCAGGAGGAACACCGGUGGCGAAGGCGGGUCUCUGGGCCGAUACUGACGCUGAGGAGCGAAAGCGUGGGGAGCAAACAGG
rnacentral:rRNA from 1 species